GAAGAAAAAAGGCCUGUGGAUUGGA
rnacentral:piRNA from 1 species